rnacentral:rRNA from 2 species
AACGAACGCUGGCGGCAGGCCUAACACAUGCAAGUCGAGCGCCCCAGCGAUGGGGAGCGGCGGACGGGUGAGUAACGCGUGGGAACGUGCCUCUUGCUACGGAAUAGCCUCGGGAAACUGGGAGUAAUACCGUAUGUGCCCUACGGGGGAAAGAUUUAUCGGCAAGAGAUCGGCCCGCGUUGGAUUAGGUAGUUGGUGGGGUAAUGGCCUACCAAGCCGACGAUCCAUAGCUGGUUUGAGAGGAUGAUCAGCCACACUGGGACUGAGACACGGCCCAGACUCCUACGGGAGGCAGCAGUGGGGAAUCUUAGACAAUGGGCGCAAGCCUGAUCUAGCCAUGCCGCGUGAGCGAUGAAGGCCUUAGGGUUGUAAAGCUCUUUCAGUGGGGAAGAUAAUGACUGUACCCACAGAAGAAGCCCCGGCUAACUCCGUG